CAGCCGCCACGGGAAUACAGAGGGUGCGAGCGUUAAUCGGAUUUACUGGGCGUAAAGCGUGCGUAGGCGGCUUCUUAAGUCGGAUGUGAAAUCCCUGAGCUUAACUUAGGAAUUGCAUUCGAUACUGGGAAGCUAGAGUAUGGGAGAGGAUGGUAGAAUUCCAGGUGUAGCGGUGAAAUGCGUAGAGAUCUGGAGGAAUACCGAUGGCGAAGGCAGCCAUCUGGCCUAAUACUGACGCUGAGGUACGAAAGCAUGGGGAGCAAACAGGAUUAGAUACCCGCGUAGUCCCUGUCUCUUAUAA
rnacentral:rRNA from 1 species